UACGUAGGGGGCAAGCGUUGUCCGGAUUUACUGGGUGUAAAGGGCGCGUAGGCGGGUUUGUAAGUCAGCGGUGAAAUCCUAUAGCUUAACUAUAGAACUGCCGUUGAUACUGCAAGUCUUGAGUUUGGAAGAGAGUAGCGGAAUUCCAGGUGUAGUAGUGAAAUACGUAGAUAUCUGGAAGAACACCAGUGGCGAAGGCGGCUACUUGGUCCAUAACUGACGCUGAGGCGCGAAAGCGUGGGGAGCAAACAGG
rnacentral:rRNA from 1 species